CCAUAAUCAUAAUAAUCCUAAU
rnacentral:snRNA from 1 species